AUGAAGAAGUAGCGAAAUGCGAUAAGUAAUGUGAAUUGCAGAAUUCAGUGAAUCAUCGAAUCUUUGAACGCACAUUGCGCCCGCCAGUAUUCUGGCGGGCAUGCCUGUUCGAGCGUCAUUACAACCCUCAGGCCCCCGGGCCUGGCGUUGGGGAUCGGCGGAGCCCCCCGUGGGCACACGCCGUCCCCCAAAUACAGUGGCGGUCCCGCCGCAGCUUCCAUCGCGUAGUAGCUAACACCUCGCGACUGGAGAGCGGCGCGGCCACGCCGUAAAACACCCAACUCUUCUGAAGUUGACCUCGAAUCAGGUAGGAAUACCCGCUGAACUUAAGCAUAUCAAUAAGCGGAGGA
rnacentral:misc_RNA from 1 species